AGACACAGUACAGUACAAGGAUAUGACAAUGUUUAUUUAUAAUUGUUAUGUAUUAACAAGAGCAGUAAUUGUAUUUCACUCCUCCGCUCGAUCCUCUCUCCUCGACUCGUGGACGCAGCCGGAUCUGCGCUGUCAACCGUCAAACGGAGGUUGUAGGUUUACGGCAGUUGCUAGAAAUCUGGUGAAUUAGUGUAAUGAAGUUAUUUACAAAUGAGAUGAGAUUAUUUACAAUGAAUGAUUUGUUGCCUGGGAGCUAUGGUUAUGUUUUCCUCGUGCAGGAAGGGAGGUCUACGUGAAGCGUAAACGUUCUGGUCGGGGUUUGAAUAAGGGAGAGUUCUCAGGGUUACCGAGGUACUGGUAGAAUGGUAAUUUCAACGACGGUGAUAAACUCGACCAUACGUUGGGCUAACAGGAAUGGAUUACGGGAUGGGAUUGCGGAAGGACUACAACGACGGUGAUAGACUCGACCAUACGCUGAAGCAAUUAGAUGGAAUCGGGUUGUUAUUUGCGGGGUUGAUACAGCGACGGUGAUAUACUCGACCAUACGCUGAAUCGGAAUCUGGAAGGGUGGUAGAAAGAACAAUGUUGCAGGAUCUGGGAUCUGAUCUCCAUUUGGCUGUGCUCUUGUUUAUAUACACCUUACCGUUGUAGUGGGGUAAGGAUAGUGGCAGGGAUAUCUGCGCAGUCAAAUGUUUAUAUGGAGUGCUCCUGCCCUCUCUUGCCCAAAAUUCGCAUAAUUUUUAAAAGAUUUUAUACGAAAUCUGAAUUAUAAAAUUACUGA